CGAUGUGAUCAUACCAGCACUAAAGCAACAGAUCCCAUCAGAACUCCGAAGUUAAGCAUGCUUGGGCGAGAGUAGUACUAGGAUGGGUGACCUCCUGGGAAGUCCUCGUGUUGCAUUCC
rnacentral:rRNA from 2 species